CCAUGCGAGUCGAGAGGUGUAAGACCUCGGCAUACUGCUCAGUAACACGUGGUUAACCUGCCCUAAGGUGGAGAAUACUCCCGGGAAACUGGGGCUAAUGCUCCAUAGUGGAUAUGUCCUGGAAUGGUAUAUCCUCGAAAGAUCCGUCGCCUUAGGAUGGGACUGCGUCCGAUUAGGUUGUUGGCGGGGUAACGGCCCACCAAGCCAUUGAUCGGUACGGGUUGUGGGAGCAAGAUCCCGGAGAUGGAUUCUGAGACAUGAAUCCAGGCCCUACGGGGCGCAGCAGGCGCGCAAACUUUACAAUGCGAGCAAUCGUGAUAAGGAAACCCUGAGUGCCUGUCGAUGCAGGCUGUUCAUAUAUCUAAAUCAUAUGUGAAGAAAGGGCAGGGCAAGACCGGUGCCAGCCGCCGCGGUAAUACCGGCUGCUCGAGUGAUGGCCACUAUUACUGGGUUUAAAGCGUCCGUAGCUUGACUGUUAGGUCUCUUGGGAAAUCUUCACGCUCAACGUGAAGGCGUCUAAGAGAUACCGGCAGUCUUGGAACUGGGAGAGGUAAACCGUACUUCGGGGGUAGGAGUGAAAUCUUGUAAUCCUCGAGGGACGACCUAUGGCGAAGGCAGUUUACCAGAACAGCUUCGACAGUGAGGGACGAAAGCUGGGGGAGCAAACGGGAUUAGAUACCCCGGUAGUCCCAGCCGUAAACAAUGUGCGUUUAGGUGUGUCGGUAACCACGUGUUACUGAUGCGCCGAAUAGAAAUCGUGAAACGCACCACCUGGGAAGUACGGUCGCAAGGCUGAAAACUUUAAGGGAAUUGGCGGGGGAGCACCACAACAGGUGGAGCCCUGCGGUUUAUUUGGGAUUCAAC
rnacentral:rRNA from 1 species